UGUGGCGCUGAGUUUGCAUUCCGGUGUCAGAAACGUGCUGUGGGGUUUGCUUCACAUAUAUAUAUAAAUACUGUAGUGUUAGGAAUGUAAUAGUUUGCUUGAGAUAAGUGAGGUCUCUGCACAUCCCAAUGACUCCAGGGGUGGUUCCGGCCCAAGAAGCUGAGGGGCUGAGUCGGGCUCCGUCAGGGGAUCCCAGCAUGGAGCAGGAUUUGUGGCCCGAGAUCAGGCCCAACACGGCUGCUUCUGUGCUGCUCCUCGGGGCAGGCUGGCACCAGUAGAUUGUUAAUCGGGAAGGCAGCCAAGGGGGCAAGAAAGGUCAAAAUUUUACCUUAGAAGGUAAAAAGUGACCUGCUAGAAUGGAACGUGUGAACGGGGGGGAAACUCACAGGAUCAUUUGAAGUCGGAUGGGCUGGAAACCCUGGAGUGCCCAGCCUGGGGGGAAACGGGAAGGAACUUUGGGAACAGGGAAUAUAAACCGUUAUUCACCUUGCUGUGGGUGUGCCUGCUUGCUUAGGUCACCCGUUCUGGGAAGGAUGUAAAUAAACUCUGCUUGGCUGAGGGAUCCGUGUGGGGCUGCUCAUGGGCGCGACACAUUUCUCACAAGGGGACCCUGCUGCUGAAGGACAAGCUGCAGCCCCUGCAGCCCCACGGGGAUGGUUCUGGAAGGUGGAGGUCCCUGCUGGAGCUUCACCCCUGCUGUGCAGUGAGGGACGGGAGCAGAUGGCUCAGCGAGCAGCGCCAGGGCUGGCUGGCGCCUCGGCUGACGGGCUGGGUUCCCAGGGGGCUGGCAGCUGCGGGCUGGGGGUCCCACAGGGGCUGCUCUUCCUUCAGUGCCUUUCCUGCUCGGGGGGGAGCAGAGCGUGCAAGGGCCCUGCUGCCAGCCAGGAUGGGCAGGUCCCACGCCUGGGUGGCAGUGCUGCUGCUGGAGGCCCAGCAGUUCUCAGGAGGGACCUGGCUGGGGCAGGGAAUGGGCUGCCAGGGACCCUGGGAAGUCCAGCAAAGGCAACUGCCAAGGUCCCAGCCAGGGAUGGGACACUUCUGUGUGCCAGCCUGGCUCAGCUGCCCUGGCUUUCACUCCCCCCAGCUGUAGCACCUGGCUGACUCCAGCCUGCUGAAGGGUUUGGUCACGAUGGAGACCCCCAGACCGUGGCUGGCCACCCACUAAAGAAAAGUGUCUUUAUCAACUUGGUUCCCACUGCAGUCUGCUCAAAAAUGCAGCUUUUCUGAACAGAAAGUUGAUGCUAUGAUUCUAUCCCAGCAAAACCAGGAUAACAGCAAAUGCUUAAUGGCCUUCUAAGGGAGCUUCUUAAAGGUCUUCUCGUAAAUGCCAGCUCUGCUCCACGCUGGACCAGGUGAAGAAACGCUUUGAGGUCAACAAGAAGAAGAUGGAGGAGAAGCAGAAGGACUAUGACUUUGAGGAGAGGAUGAAGGAGCUCCGUGAGGAGAAUCAUGGAAUAUGCUGAGUUGGAAGGGACCCAUCAGGACCACGAGUCCAACUCCUGUCCCUUGGGGUGUAGGGCACCCCAGGAAUCACACCCUGGGCCUGAGAGCAUCACCCAAACACUGCUUGAACUCGGGCAGGCCUGGUGCUGUGACCUGGGGAGCUGGUUCCAGGGCUCAACCACGCUCUGGGUGAAAAACCUUCUCCUGAUAUCCCACCUAAGCCUCCCCUGCUUCAGCUUCCUGCCAAACAGAGACCCAGCCCCCAGUUUUGAAGAGCAGUGCACAGCCCAGAGGAAAGCUUUCCUAACAGCAGAGACUAGAAGGAGGCUGUUUGUUUCACCUUGCAAAGUGAAAACUGCCUGUUAACUCAUGCUGAACUUCAACCACAGACGGGCGAGACCUUCCAGCAGGGCUUUUACGAGACGAAAGGUAAAACGCGAUGGACCCCAAGGAACCCCGGUGUGGUUGCAGGGGCCGCGCAGCAGAACCGCCGCACUAGGGAAGUGCAACUUGGUGCAGCCGGGGCUGGAAACUGCGGGUAGGGCUGAAGAGCAGCACUUGAGGGCAGCAGAGCCCUGUGGAACAGUCGCUGCUGCUCCCUCCUGUGGCUGCGUCCUCACGGAAGGUGUGAGUACCCGCCACCAGCCUCGCAAACGCUGUUCUGCAUGAGGCAAAGUGGGUGUUUCGAGGGCACAGCCCUGCCCGGCACCUCUUUGCCAGUAACUUGCUUUAUUUCAGCUUCACGAGGUGACCACUGCUGGUUAUAAGCAGCAUCCUCUACAAAGUGUUCUUUGCUCUGAACCUGCAGAGCUGCCAGCCAAACUGAGCUGCUCUUCAGAGCUUACAUGGAUAAAAGGUUGAAAGACACAAAUCCAAAUAGGUCCUGAUCCAUCUUUUUAGCUAUUGUCAACCUUCAGAAAUCAUUACCUUUGGCUUCUUCUCCCCUCCUGUCCCAGAUGCAGAGUCAUCCUGUAUUUGCAAGGCUCCAUAAUUUGACCUUCUCACACAAUCAGAAAGUUUCUGCCCAAAGGCUUCAGGUCCCAAGUGUCAGGAUGGGUUUGGAGCUCUCAGGAGUGGAGCAAACAAAGCUGGGAACACUUCCUGCCUCUCAGCACCAGAGAUGGCCUCAUAGGGAGUCAGGUUUGGGGCCUCCUGGAGAAUCUGUUUUGUUAGUGUCAGCGUUUGUAUUCAAGAUCAUGGUAUUUGUAAGGGCUCAAAAUUGACUCUAGCUCUUGCAUUAGAAAGCAACGUUACAGCCAAGGGGCACACUUGGCAUGAGGCUUCAGCACCAGACGUGUGAGCAGGGAUGAGAUGAGAGAUCUCGACAUUCCAGGAUCCAGUCUCUCACCACCAGCAGUGCAAGGAUACUCUUUCCCAGCCUCUGCAGGGACAGGCUCCCUCAGCACAGGCAGCAAGAGGGAGAAAAGAGGCAGAUUCCCCAGGAGUAGGACUGCUGCAUCAUUCCUCUUGGUUAAGUCACUUGUCUUUCCUUAAGCUGGUGAUAAUGAUCAGUGACUGCACAAGCAUUUUGAACAGCACUCGAUCAACUCCAGUUCCCACCACAAACUGAAUUUAAAUGACUAAGUUUUGUUUGUUUGUUUUUAUUUUGAGCAAAGCAGUGAUUAAUGCACAGUCUCGGGGCUAGAGAAACUGUGAAGGAUUAAAUCUACAGACAAAAAGGGUCA